rnacentral:rRNA from 1 species
AUGCUCACAUCAGCUCCGUUAUGGACCGUUAGAUCCUUUGUUGAAUUAUCAUCGACGGUCCGGAACAAGUGCGCGGCGUGCUACCGCCAGUUCAACAGGAUGGAGCACCUGGUGGAGCACAUGCGCGCGUCGCACCACUCGCCGCACGAGCCGCGCUGCGGCGUCUGCGGGAAGCACUGCCGCUCCCUCGACGCCCUCCGUGACCACCUCGGCUUCGGCGCCUCCCUGCCCCCGAAGCCCGCCUGCGCCACGGCCUUUGCUGCCAAGGGCUGCCCGCUCUGCCUCGCCGUCUUCCCUAGCUCCAGCUCCCUCCGCGCCCACGGCCCAACCUGCCACCACUCCCGCGCUCCGGUUCCCUCGAGGGGGGCUAUGCCGAGAAUGCCCGUCGGCGGCGUGGUGGCGCUGGGGUGCAAGAUGGUGGGCGGCGGGAGCGACGGGACGCUGGACCUGUGCGGGCGCGUCUGCGUCAUCGACGAGAAUGAGACCAUCGUCUUCGAGAACUUUGUGAGGCCGCUCCUCCCGGUGACGCACUACCGGUACGAGACCACGGGGAUCCGCCCCGAGUACCUGCGGGACGCGCCGACGGUGAAGAUGGUGCAGCGGCAGGUGGAGGGCAUCCUCCUCAACGGCGAGCAGCCGUGGAAGGUCCGGUCCUCGCGCGGCGCGGCCAGGAUCCUCGUCGGCCACGGCCUGGAGCACGAUCUCGACGCGCUGGGCAUGGACUACCCGGCGUACCUGAAGCGGGACACGGCGGAAUAUCCGCCGCUGAUGAAGACGAGCGCCAGGCUGAUGAGCAACUCGCUUCGGUUCCUCACACAAAGCUGCCUCGGCUACGACAUCCAGACGGGCCACCAGCACCCCUACGAGGACUGCGUGGCGGCCAUGCGGCUGUACAAGAGAAUGCGCGCGAUGACGCACGGCCCGCGGAAGAACGGGGGCGAAGGCGAUGCGUGCGCGGCGGUGGCAUUCCCGGCGCGGAGGCAGCGGGAGCUGGAGCGCAUGUCGCCGGAGGAGCUCCUGAGCAUGUCCAAGCUCGACUAUCACUGCUGGUGCCUCGACGACUAG